rnacentral:tRNA from 1 species
GCCUGAGUGACAUAGUGGUUUGAGUGUUGGACUACAACUCUGGAGACCAGAGUUCGAUUCCCAGCACGGCCA